GGGCCCGCACAAGCGGUGGAGCAUGUGGUUCAAUUCGACGCAACGCGAAGAACCUUACCCAGGCUUGAACAGCGAGUGACCAACUCCGAAAGGAGUCUUCCGCAAGGACACUCGUAGAGGUGCUGCAUGGCUGUCGUCAGCUCGUGUCGUGAGAUGUUGGGUUAAGUCCCGCAACGAGCGCAACCCUUGUUUGCUGUUGCCAUCACGUUAUGGUGGGCACUCUGCAAAGACUGCCGGUGAUAAACCGGAGGAAGGUGGGGAUGACGUCAAGUCAGCAUGGCCUUUAUGUCUGGGGCUACACACGUGCUACAAUGGCCGGUACAAACCGUCGCGAUGCCGUAAGGUGGAGCUAAUCGGAGAAAGCCGGUCUCAGUUCGGAUUGUCGGCUGCAACUCGCCGGCAUGAAGUUGGAAUCGCUAGUAAUCGCGGAUCAGCACGCCGCGGUGAAUACGUUCCCGGGCCUU
rnacentral:rRNA from 1 species